AGUCUUAGGGUGUGGCAGCACGGGCGAUUGCAAGUCGCUAGGGGCGGGUAAAGACCGCUGAGGCUU
rnacentral:tRNA from 1 species